GGAGAAGUACCCAAGUGGCCGAAGGGGCUCCCCUGCUAAGGGAGUAGUGUUCGAAAGGGCAGCGAGGGUUCAAAUCCCUCCUUCUCCGCCA
rnacentral:tRNA from 1 species